GUCAGGUUGGCCGAGCGGUCUAAGGCGUCAGACUCAAGAUCUGAUUCCCGUAAGGGAGCGUGGGUUUGAACCCCACACCUGACA
rfam:Zootermopsis nevadensis contig27929, whole genome shotgun sequence.